GAGCUGAAAAUAAAGGAAUUUAUACAAGAAGCUGGAAUCUUUAACUGGAAAUGCAGGAAGUAAAAGGCAAAUAAUAAAAGGUUUCUAUGACAGGGGUCAGUAGUUUUAUGAAGGCAAUUUUGUGACAUGUGCAUCUGACGUGACUGAAUAACUCCAAGAAUCCAUUUCUGUUCAAGAUGCUUUAGUUCUUCUGUGCUCCUUGCUGUAAGGGCCAUCAGCUCAACAACACACACUCUCAAGACUUCAAGCCCACAAAUAGGCCUUUCUUCAAGGCUUGUAGAUGAGACUUUUCAGCAUCAGAAUGUGUCAAACAGUACAGCUGGAAGAUAAGAGAUCUUGGAGCUCUGGGUACCCCACUGUCACCAGGCACUUUACUGGUGGCAUAGGCACACGCGUCUGCUGCUGUCACGGCAAAAAGACAUUUU
rnacentral:lncRNA from 1 species